rnacentral:lncRNA from 1 species
ACAGAUGCAGCUCGGAAUAGCUUUGACUGAGUUGUCUCACAAGGAGCAGCUGCUUUGUGAGCAACAUCAGGUGCUUUCAGAACAGGUGAAACAACUGUUAGGGCAGGUACAGGAGUACACCUCCAUAUCCGAUGGCCUGCGAGGAGAGAAUACCCAACUGAAGACUUUGCUGGCACAAACGCAGCAGGAGCUUGCUUCGCAGAAUCAGAAGAUGCAUGAGGAGCAGCAUUGUCAAUCUAUGAUACCUGGGAACAUACACCUGGAGAUCGCUCUGGCACAGCAGUUCGAACAGACUGAACCACCUGAAGAUGAAAAGGAGACUCUGAAGACCAAAGCACCCUGUGCAUACAGACCUACUCUACUUUGGCUGCUAUUUUUUUUCUGCUUGAUUGCUUGUGUUUGGCUAUUCAUCAUUGCAGCAUCAUCUUGUGGGCCACACAGCACCACCACCUCAAACCAUCCCUUCUGUUCUUUCCUCUGGCCACAUUUGUCCUUAACCUGGCGGGAGCCACCGCCGAUGUAACUGUUUUUAAACCCUUGAGGAGAUGCAUUCAUUGAAUGUAAUGCAUUUCCUGUUUGUUCGUUUAGUUCCUGAUAUUUUUAACAUUACCGUCAAUAACAUAUUUUAGUUGAAUAUGGUUCAGUUUAAUUUUUUGUGCUUUAUAUGAUCUUUUCAUCACUUUAAUAUCCGAAUUGCUGUUGCUUUAUAAAUUCGGUCAUCUCACCUUUGUUUGUUACAGAACCCUUGUUAAUUUUCCUUUCCUGGUUCUUGUUCUCUUGUAUUUUAAAAAAAGCAUGUAUUGCAACCUUGAUUUAUUAUAUCCCAGCAACCUGCAGAUGUUUAGGAAAUGUCAGCAAGAGUCUGUGCUUUCUAUUUCAUCUUUGGAUUAUAUUUUAUUUGUGAAUAAAGUUGCAAUCGAUUAUUGAUCCACCCACCUCACCAAAAUAAACUUUUUGAGAGGAGUACAAGCUGACUUGAUUUUG